rnacentral:rRNA from 1 species
GACGAACGCUGGCGGCGUGCUUAACACAUGCAAGUCGAACGGAAAGGCCUUUUCGGUGGUACUCGAGCGGCGAACGGGUGAGUAACACGUGGGUGAUCUGCCCUGCACUCUGGGAUAAGCCUGGGAAACUGGGUCUAGUACCGGAUAGGACCGCACUUUUGUGUGUGUGGUGGAAAGUUUUUUGGGUGUAGGUUGAGUCCGUGGCCUAUCAGCUUGCUGGUGGGGUAAUGGUCUACCAAGGCGGCGACGGGUAGCCGGACUGAGCGGCUGGUCGGCCACAUUGGGUCUUAGAUACGGCCCAGACACCUACGGGAGGGAGCAGGGGGGAAGAUUGCACGAGGGGCGCAAGCCUGAUGCAGCGACGCCGCGGGGGGGAUGACGGCCUUCUGGUUGUAAACCCCUUUCGCCAGGGACUAAGCGUUUUGUGACGGUACCUGGAGAAGAAGCACCGGCUAACUACGUG